UCAGACUUCACUGAAUCACACUUCUUUUCACCAGUGAUGCUUUGCAAGUGUUUCCAUAAAUAACCAGUAUCCAACAGGAUGUCAAUUUAUUGAGGCCAAAUCGUAGGUGGUUCCCGAAACUCAUCGAGCUCUUCCACUAACAAUUUUGAAUGUAACCAUUAUAUUGUGUCUGUCUUCUUGGGUCUUUCAGACAUCAGCGAAAAUGCUUGUCCUGAUCGGCUGAAUGCAGAGCCCUCUCUUAAGAAGGAGGAACAGGAAAAAGAGGUCUCCCGCUUUAAAGAGGAAGAGGAGCAGCAGCCCCCCUACAUCAAAAAAGUGAAGGAGGAGCCGGAGCAUCCUCGUGUGAAAGAGGAGGGCGAUAAGCCCCCCUACAUCAAAGAGGAGGAGGAUAUCGGCAAGUGGCCAUCACCUGGUGUCCCUUUGAAAAGAAAAGAUGAAGAUCAAAGUGAUGUCAGCAGAUGGGGGGAGCCUCUAAGCAGCAGCUUCAAACACACUGACAUCAGCGAAGAUGUUUGUCCCGACCGGCUGGGUGCAGAGCCCUCUGAUAUUAAAGAGGAAGAGGAGAAAAAAAGAGGUCUCCUACUUUAAAGAGGAAGAGGAGCAGCAGGCCCCUGACAUUAAAAAAAAGGAGGAGCAAGAGCACCCUUGCAUGAAAGUUCGUGACAACACAUCAUCAAGCAUUGAUGAUGAUGAUGAGUUGGAGGAGAAGGAUGAAGAAUCUGAUGGUGAUCUGACAUGUCACACUGACAAUAAACCCUGGAACUGUUCUCGGUGUGGGAAGACGUUUCCUUGGAGGAGUUUUUUUGAAAAGACAUAUGAGAACUCACACUGGUGAGAAUCCUUUUUCUUGUUCAAUUUGUGGCCUAAGAUUCUCUCUGAAGGCAAGCGUAAAAACACACACGAGAAUACACACAUUUGAGAAACCUUUUGCCUGUUCAUUGUGUGAUCAAAGCUUCUCCCGGAAGGAAACAUUAAAAAGUCAUACAAGAACCUACACGGGUGCGAAACCUUUUGCCUGCACAGUUUGUGGACAAAGAUUCUCUGAAAAGGGAUCC